rnacentral:tRNA from 1 species
GGACCCCUGACCAGCCGCGCGAUCCGCCUUUGAAAGGCAGAAGUCAGGGGUUCGAAUCCCCUAGGCUCCACGA